ensembl:lncRNA
GGAGAGCAAAACCGUGGAGCCCAGUCGAAACGCGCUGAGUUCACACGCUGUGGCUGGACCGAGUGGAAGUCUGCGGUGGUUAAUAACUCAGACAACCAAACCAAAAUCCGGAGGUUCGCCCCCAAAGCAACCUAAACUUUGCUUCACGGGGACGGAUACCAAGUGCUGAUGAGGAUGUGGAGUAACAGAAUUCCUCAUGCUGCUGGAGUAUAAACUACUAAAAAAAAAAAUAAUAAUAACUUUCGAAAACAAUUUGGCGCUGUACUAUAGAAGCCAAGGCUAUGGUUUUUCCAGUGGUCAUGUAUGGAUGUGAGAGUUGGACUAUAAAGAAAGCUGAACUUCGAAGAAUUGAUGCUUUUGAACUGUGGUGUUGGAGAAGACUCUUGAGAGUCCCUUGGACUGCAAGGAGAUCCAACCAGUCCAUCCUAAAGGAAAGCAGUCCUGAACAUUCAUUGGAAGGACUGAUGGCUAAAGCUGAAAUUCCAAUACUUUGGCCAUCUGAUGCAAAGAGCUUACUCAUUUGAAAAGACCCUGAUGCUAGGAAAGACUGAAGGCGGGAGGAGAAGGGGACGACAGAGGAUGAGGUGGUUGGAUGGCAUCACCGACUCAACGGACGUGAGUUUGAGCAAACUCCGGGAGUUGGUGAUUGACAGGGAGACCUGGUUGCUGCAGUCCAUGGGAUUGCAAAGAAUCGGACACGACUGAGCGACUAAACUGAACUGAACUAUAGAAGCCAACCCUGUGACCCAGCAGUUCCAUGGUUAUGUGUACAGCCAAGAGAAAUGUGUGCUUACAAGGCACCAACAGUUAUCAGAAUGUUGACGAUGCAUUUGUUUUAAUAACCCCAAAUGGAAAUAACCAAAAAGACCAUCAAGGAUAGAAUAAGGGUCCAGCAAGAGACAGAUGGCACACUCAAAACAGGUGGUCUCAAAGAUGGUUUUUGCACAGACUGUUUGCGAAGAUGUAGGAGAAAGGAAUCCG